rnacentral:rRNA from 1 species
UAGGGAAUCUUCGGCAAUGGGGGGAACCCUGACCGAGCAACGCCGCGUGAGUGAAGAAGGUUUUCGGAUCGUAAAGCUCUGUUGUUAAGGAAGAACGAGUGUGAGAAUGGAAAGUUCAUGCUGUGACGGUACUUAACCAGAAAGGGACGGCUAACUACGUGCCAGCAGCCGCGGUAAUACGUAGGUGGCAAGCGUUGUCCGGAUUUAUUGGGCGUAAAGCGAGCGCAGGCGGUCAAUUAAGUCUGAUGUGAAAGCCCCCGGCUCAACCGGGGAGGGUCAUUGGAAACUGGUUGACUUGAGUGCAGAAGAGGGGGUUGGAAUUCCAUGUGUAGCGGUGAAAUGCGUAGAUAUAUGGAGGAACACCAGUGGCGAAGGCGACUCUCUGGUCUGUAACUGACGCUGAGGCUCGAAAGCGUGGGUAGCAAACAGG